GAGAGAGAGAGAGAGAAAAAAAAAACUGAAGCUAGAGAGUUUUUCAAAAAAAGAAACCAAAUCUGGAAGAGGAAGAACAAAAAACAGAGUUUGGAUUUUGAGAAAUUUUAUGAUUCGUUACGGUGUUUUCUUCAUUGUUUUUUUUUAGAUUUCUGAGAAAGAAGAAAUUUGCAGGAAAAUUAUUUUAACUUUCCUAAUUUUAAUUUUGUUUUUUUCCUUUUUGUCUCGAAA